rnacentral:tRNA from 1 species
GCGGAUGUGGCGGAAUUGGCAGACGCGCACGGUUCAGGUCCGUGUGGGGCAACCCGUGCAGGUUCAAAUCCUGUUAUCCGCA